GUGGGGAAUAUUGCACAAUGGGCGAAAGCCUGAUGCAGCAACGCCGCGUGAGGGACGACGGCCUUCGGGUUGUAAACCUCUUUUAGUAGGGAAGAAGCGAAAGUGACGGUACCUGCAGAAAAAGCACCGGCUAACUACGUGCCAGCAGCCGCGGUAAUACGUAGGGUGCAAGCGUUAUCCGGAAUUAUUGGGCGUAAAGAGCUCGUAGGCGGUCUGUCGCGUCAGCUGUGAAAACUGGAGGCUCAACCUCCAGCCUGCAGGGGGUACGGGCAGACUAGAGUGCGGUAGGGGAGAUUGGAAUUCCUGGUGUAGCGGUGGAAUGCGCAGAUAUCAGGAGGAACACCGAUGGCGAAGGCAGAUCUCUGGGCCGUAACUGACGCUGAGGAGCGAAAGCGUGGGGAGCGAACAGGAUUAGAAACCCGAGUAGUCC
rnacentral:rRNA from 1 species